ACAGGUGCUGCAUGGCUGUCGUCAGCUCGUGUCGUGAGAUGUUGGGUUAAGUCCCGCAACGAGCGCAACCCUUGCCAUCAGUUGCUACGAAAGGGCACUCUGAUGGGACUGCCGGUGACAAACCGGAGGAAGGUGGGGAUGACGUCAAGUCCUCAUGGCCCUUAUAGGUGGGGCUACACACGUCAUACAAUGGCCGGUACAAAGGGCAGCCAACCCGCGAGGGGGAGCCAAUCCCAUAAAGCCGGUCGUAGUCCGAAUCGCAGUCUGCAACUCGACUGCGUGAAGUCGGAAUCGCUAGUAAUCGUGGAUCAGCAUGUCACGGUGAAUACGUUCCCGGGUCCGUU
rnacentral:rRNA from 1 species